AGUUCUCUGGGGUGUACGCCAGUCGUUAUAGUCCCUCGAGCCUAUGCGUAAUACCCAGGGGGCCAAAUGCUAGCCAGACCCGUGUGCAUGUCCGUGCGUCGGAAAGCCUGACGGUUUGGCUGCGGCCACCCACCUGAACCAGUAGGUUCAGGGCCAGAACGACAGCGGCACUUCGGAGAACAC
rfam:Halomonas sp. 54_146 DS1215_scaffold_17, whole genome shotgun sequence.